UGCGAGUGAAGCGGCAAAAGCUCAAAUUUGAAAUCGGUGUGCCUAAAGUACAUUGAGUUGUAAUUUGGAGGGACAACUUCGGGCUGAACCACACCGUAAGUUCCUUGGAACAGGACGUCAUAGAGGGUGAGAAUCCCGUGUCUUGGUGUCGGGUCAAACCAUGUGAAGUGUCUCCGACGAGUCGAGUUGUUUGGGAAUGCAGCUCAAAAUGGGUGGUAAAUUUCAUCUAAAGCUAAAUAUUGGCGAGAGACCGAUAGCGCACAAGUAGAGUGAUCGAAAGAUGAAAAGCACUUUGAAAAGAGAGUUAAAAAGUACGUGAAAUUGUUGAAAGGGAAGCGCUUACGACCAGACUCGAUCUUUGGUGAUCAGCCGGACUUCGGUUCGGUGCCCUCGCCAUUGAUUGGGCCAGCAUCGGUUCUGACGGUGGGAUAAAAGGGGGAGGAAUGUAGCUCCUCUCGGGGAGUGUUAUAGCCACCUUCACAAUGCUACCAGUCGGGACCGAGGACCGC
rnacentral:rRNA from 1 species